AUUGAACGCUGGCGGCAGGCUUAACACAUGCAAGUCGAGCGGGGGAAGGUAGCUUGCUACCGGACCUAGCGGCGGACGGGUGAGUAAUGCUUAGGAAUCUGCCUAUUAGUGGGGGACAACAUCUCGAAAGGGAUGCUAAUACCGCAUACGUCCUACGGGAGAAAGCAGGGGAUCUUCGGACCUUGCGCUAAUAGAUGAGCCUAAGUCGGAUUAGCUAGUUGGUGGGGUAAAGGCCUACCAAGGCGACGAUCUGUAGCGGGUCUGAGAGGAUGAUCCGCCACACUGGGACUGAGACACGGCCCAGACUCCUACGGGAGGCAGCAGUGGGGAAUAUUGGACAAUGGGGGGAACCCUGAUCCAGCCAUGCCGCGUGUGUGAAGAAGGCCUUAUGGUUGUAAAGCACUUUAAGCGAGGAGGAGGCUACUUUAGUUAAUACCUAGAGAUAGUGGACGUUACUCGCAGAAUAAGCACCGGCUAACUCUGUGCCAGCAGCCGCGGUAAUACAGAGGGUGCGAGCGUUAAUCGGAUUUACUGGGCGUAAA
rnacentral:rRNA from 1 species